UGACCCCUGCGCCGAAAAUGUACCGGGGCUAAAACAAUUUACCGAAGCUGUGGAUCCUUUAGGGGAUGGUAGGAGAGCGUUCUAUGUGUGGUGAAGGUGUACCGUGAGGAGCGCUGGAACGCAUAGAAGUGAGAAUGCCGGUAUGAGUAGCGCAAGACAGGUGAGAAUCCUGUCCACCGUAAGACUAAGGUUUCCAGGGGAAGGCUCGUCCGCCCUGGGUUAGUCGGGACCUAAGGAGAGACCGAAAGGUGUAUCCGAUGGCCAACAGGUAGAGAUUCCUGUACUAGAGUAUAGAGUGAAGGAGGGACGCAGUAGGCUAACUCAAGCGUGCGAAUGGAAGAGCAUGUCUAAGCAGUGAGGUGUGAUAGGAGUCAAAUGCUUCUAUCUGUAACAUUGAGCUGUGAUGGGGAGCGAAGUUUAGUAGCGCAAGUGAGUGAUGUCACACUGCCAAGAAAAGCUUCUAGCGUUAAUUUAUACUCUACCGANCGCAAACCGACACAGGUAGUCGAGGCGAGUAGCCUCAGGUGAUCGAGAGAACUC
rnacentral:rRNA from 1 species